rnacentral:rRNA from 1 species
CCUACGUGCGACAGCAGUGAGGAAUAUUGGUCAAUGGACGUAAGCCUGAACCAGCCAAGUCGCGUGAGGGAUGAAGGUUCUAUGGAUUGUAAACCUCUUUUAUAUGGGAAUAAAGCGCGGGAUGUGUCCCGUUUUGUAUGUACCUUAUGAAUAAGGAUCGGCUAACUCCGUGCCAGCAGCCGCGGUAAUACGGAGGAUCCGAGCGUUAUCCGGAUUUAUUGGGUUUAAAGGGAGCGUAGAUGGGUUGUUAAGUCAGUUGUGAAAGUUUGCGGCUCAACCGUAAAAUUGCAAUUGAUACUGGCAGUCUUGAGUACAGGUGAGGUAGGCGGAAUUCGUGGUGUAGCGGUGAAAUGCUUAGAUAUCACGAAGAACCCCGAUUGCGAAGGCAGCUUACUAAACUGUAACUGACAUUGAUGCUCGAAAGUGUGGGUAUCAAACAGGAUUAGAUACCCUUGUAGUC